GAAUUCGAAGCGUUGGAUUGUUCACCCACCAAUAGGGAACGUGAGCUGGGUUUAGACCGUCGUGAGACAGGUUAGUUUUACCCUACUGUGACUCGUUGUUGCGAUAGUAAUCCUGCUUAGUACGAGAGGAACCGCAGGUUCAGACAUUUGGUUCAUGUGCUUGGCCGAUCGGCCAAUGGUGCGAAGCUACCAUCUGAGGGAUUAUGACUGAACGCCUCUAAGUCAGAAUCCCGCCUAGUGAAGGCAACGAUAAAUUUGCUCGCCGGUGUCGGGAGGCACUUCUAUGUAACUUUUAAAGUUACAGCUAAUGCCCCAUUAUAUGGUCUUUCCGAACGAUUGAAAAGUCGUGCGGUUGCCAAAGCCGGACUACACGGUACAACGUCGGGGCGCAAAAUCACUUGCAGACGACUUGAUUACUGGUCAAGGUGUUGUAUCCAGUAGAGCAGCCUCCAUACUGCGAUCUGUUGAGACUCAUCCUUUGAUUGGACGAUUUG
rnacentral:rRNA from 1 species